UGCGGAUGCCUACCAUGCAAGUCGUACGGAGAGUGGGGCAACUCACUCUCAGUGGCAAACGGGUGAGUAACGCGUGAAUAACCUGCCUUUGAGAAGGGGAUAACCGUCCGAAAGGAUAGCUAAUACCCUAUAUUGCCUUUUGUCACUAAGGCAAAAGGUGAAAGCGAGGCUGUCAAAGGCUUCGGCUCAAAGAGGGGUUCGCGUCCUAUCAGGUAGUUGGUGGGGUAAUGGCCUACCAAGCCAAUGACGGGUAGCUGGUCUUAGAGGAUGAUCAGCCACAGUGGGACUGAGACACGGCCCGCACCCCUACGGGGGGCAGCAGUGGGGAAUCGUGGGCAAUGGGCGCAAGCCUGACCCCGCAAUGCCGCGUGAGGGAAGAAGCCCUUCGGGGUGUAAACCUCUGUCAGAUGGGAAGAUGGGACUAGGGGCUAAUACCUCCUGGUCUUGACGGUACCAUCAGAGGAAGGGACGGCUAACUACGUGCCAGCAGCCGCGGUAAU
rnacentral:rRNA from 1 species